UACGUAGGGGGCAAGCGUUGUCCGGAAUCAUUGGGCGUAAAGAGCGCGUAGGCGGCCCGAUAAGUCCGCUGUGAAAGUCAAGGGCUCAACCCUUGAAUGCCGGUGGAUACUGUCGGGCUAGAGUCCGGAAGAGGCGAGUGGAAUUCCUGGUGUAGCGGUGAAAUGCGCAGAUAUCAGGAGGAACACCGGUGGCGAAGGCGGUUCUCUGGGCAUUACCUGACGCUGAGGAGCGAAAGUGUGGGGAGCGAACAGG
rnacentral:rRNA from 1 species